UGGGGAAUCUUCCGCAAUGGACGAAAGUCUGACGGAGCAACGCCGCGUGAGUGAUGACGGCCUUCGGGUUGUAAAGCUCUGUUAAUCGGACGAAUGGUUCUUGUGCAAAUAGUGCGAGGAUUUGACGGUACCGGAAUAGAAAGCCACGGCUAACUACGUGCCAGCAGCCGCGGUAAUACGUAGGUGGCAAGCGUUGUCCGGAAUUAUUGGGCGUAAAGCGCGCGCAGGCGGAUUGGUCAGUCUGUCUUAAAAGUUCGGGGCUUAACCCCGUGAUGGGAUGGAAACUGCCAAUCUAGAGUAUCGGAGAGGAAAGUGGAAUUCCUAGUGUAGCGGUGAAAUGCGUAGAUAUUAGGAAGAACACCAGUGGCGAAGGCGACUUUCUGGACGAAAACUGACGCUGAGGCGCGAAAGCCAGGGGAGCGAACGGG
rnacentral:rRNA from 1 species